rnacentral:rRNA from 1 species
CAGCAGCCGCGGGAAUACGUAGGUGGCAAGCGUUGUCCGGAAUUACUGGGCGUAAAGCGCACGCAGGCGGUCUGUCAAGUCAGAUGUGAAAUCCCCGGGCUUAACCUGGGAACUGCAUUUGAAACUGGCAGGCUAGAGUCUUGUAGAGGGGGGUAGAAUUCCAGGUGUAGUGGUGAAAUGCGUAGAGAUCUGGAGGAAUACCGGUGGCGAAGGCGGCCCCCUGGACAAAGACUGACGCUCAGGUGCGAAAGCGUGGGGAGCAAACAGGAUUAGAUACCCGUGUAGUCCCUGUCUCUUAUAC